rnacentral:rRNA from 1 species
UACGUAGGGCGCAAGCGUUGUCCGGAAUUAUUGGGCGUAAAGAGCUCGUAGGCGGUCUGUCGCGUCGGAUGUGAAAGCCCGGGGCUUAACCCCGGGUCUGCAUUCGAUACGGGCAGACUAGAGUGUGGUAGGGGAGAUCGGAAUUCCUGGUGUAGCGGUGAAAUGCGCAGAUAUCAGGAGGAACACCGGUGGCGAAGGCGGUUCUCUGGGCAUUACCUGACGCUGAGGAGCGAAAGUGUGGGGAGCGAACAGG